GACGAACGCUGUUGGCGUGCUUAACACAUGCAAGUCGAACGAUGAAGCCUAGCUUGCUAGGUGGAUUAGUGGCGAACGGGUGAGUAAUACGUGAGUAACCUACCUUUAACUCUGGGAUAAGCCUGGGAAACUGGGUCUAAUACCGGAUACGACCAAUCUCCGCAUGGGGUGUUGGUGGAAAGCGUUAUGUAGUGGUUAUAGAUGGGCUCACGGCCUAUCAGCUUGUUGGUGAGGUAACGGCUCACCAAGGCGACGACGGGUAGCCGGCCUGAGAGGGUGACCGGCCACACUGGGACUGAGACACGGCCCAGACUCCUACGGGAGGCAGCAGUGGGGAAUAUUGCACAAUGGGCGCAAGCCUGAUGCAGCGACGCCGCGUGAGGGAUGACGGCCUUCGGGUUGUAAACCUCUGUUAGCAGGGAAGAAGAGAGAUUGACGGUACCUGCAGAGAAAGCGCCGGCUAACUACGUGCCAGCAGCCGCGUAAAUACGUAGGGCGCGAGCGUGUCCGGAAUUAUUGGGCGUAAAGAGCUUGUAGGCGGUUUGUCGCGUCUGCUGUGAAAGGCCGGAGCUUAACUCCGUGUAUUGCAGUGGGUACGGGCAGACUAGAGUGCAGUAGGGGAGACUGGAAUUCCUGGUGUAGCGGUGGAAUGCGCAGAUAUCAGGAGGAACACCGAUGGCGAAGGCAGGUCUCUGGGCUGUAACUGACGCUGAGAAGCGAAAGCAUGGGGAGCGAACAGGAUUAGAUACCCUGGUAGUCCAUGCCGUAAACGUUGGGCACUAGGUGUGGGGAACAUUCCACGUUUUCCGCGCCGUAGCUAACGCAUUAAGUGCCCCGCCUGGGGAGUACGGCCGCAAGGCUAAAACUCAAAGAAAUUGACGGGGGCCCGCACAAGCGGCGGAGCAUGCGGAUUAAUUCGAUGCAACGCGAAGAACCUUACCAAGGCUUGACAUAUACUGGACCGCAUCAGAGAUGGUGUUUCCCUUCGGGGCUGGUAUACAGGUGGUGCAUGGUUGUCGUCAGCUCGUGUCGUGAGAUGUUGGGUUAAGUCCCGCAACGAGCGCAACCCUCGUUCUAUGUUGCCAGCACGUUAUGGUGGGGACUCAUAGGAGACUGCCGGGGUCAACUCGGAGGAAGGUGGGGAUGACGUCAAAUCAUCAUGCCCCUUAUGUCUUGGGCUUCACGCAUGCUACAAUGGCCGGUACAGAGGGUUGCGAUACUGUGAGGUGGAGCUAAUCCCUAAAAGCCGGUCUCAGUUCGGAUUGGGGUCUGCAACUCGACCCCAUGAAGUCGGAGUCGCUAGUAAUCGCAGAUCAGCAACGCUGCGGUGAAUACGUUCCCGGGCCU
rnacentral:rRNA from 1 species